CUGGCCAUCCUGGAGGGUUUGGAGACCAGACAGAGGGGUCUGGGAUCUGUACAAGGGGGUCAACCAGCCUCACACAGAGCCCAGGAGGACACUGCCUCUGAUCCCUGUCCAUGGGAGUGAAUGCCCACAUUGUAUGAAGAAUCACAAGCUGAGAGAAUUCAAAAUAAGUAGUAGUUAGUUUAUCAUAGAAUGUAAAUGUAGAAUCUAGGAUUCUCAGUAUAUGGGGUUGAAGAAGCAAGAUGGAGGAAUUGGGGAGUGGCCCCUGUGCUCCUUGUUCUUGCUCUCGUCCCCCAUUUUCUGCUGAGUUGGAUCUCAAGGAUUGGUUUAGAGUAGAAAUGACAUGUUAGCAUAGGUAGUAGGUAUUGGUACAGUUUUGUAAAUAAAAAGUACGUUGUGGACGGUGAUUGGGUCAGGGGUAUUGUACAUAAGGUGUGGGGCUCUCUGAUCCGCCCAGUCUGCUGCGUGUCCUGCUCUGCUGGGGAUGCCUCACAGAGCUGAGAAAGAACUAAGAUAAGGUACCCUGCCAGGGAGCCCUGGCAGAGCUGAAAAAGGACUGAGAUAAUGAAGAAUAAACAACCUUGGAAACAUGCACUGGCGGACUCAGCUUGUCGUCUCUACCUCUGGUGUGAAACACUUAGGGCAAAGAGAAGAUGGAAAACCUUAUUACCUCUGGGAACAGCAACCCAGAGGAAACUCCCAGGGAACAGCAACCUUGGGGGAACCCUUAGUACCUUGGGGAACAGCAACCCCAAGAAGAAUCUCAGGGAAUCAAUAACCCUGAGAGACAUCGGGUCUAGCAAAGCUUCUCUCAUCCCCAAACGGCCACACUUUGCUUUUCUUGGCACAGGAAGACCCUGGGUACUCAACCAUCACAUGGCUGCAGCAACAGGGCAGAAGAGCACGUGCUCACCUACACGCCUGCACAGUGGCACUGCAGCCACUGCCUUGAGAGAGAGCUGGAUUAAGAGGCACAGCCUGGGAGAGCUGCAACUAAACCAUCCUGCAACUGAAGUGGGAGACAGCUCCACCCCUCUCCGUCAUGUCAGGAUCCAGCACCACUGAUCACCCAGCUUUGCUCAUACCUCAGACAAUAGAAUUAAAGAGGAGCACCCAUGGCUGCAUCCAGCUGAGUUGUGUUUUCCAUGGUCACCCCAAACAGGCAAGGACAGAUCUGAAGGAUCCAGGACAUCCAUACGUGUCUUAGGUACCUGAGCAGAUGGCAUCUCAAUUGCCAUUAUCUUAACACUGCAAGCCUCUAAAUGCUGUGCUGGGCUACACCAUGUACCCCCCUAGUAUUUUAAGGUGGUGAUAAACACACCUUCAAGCCAGGACAAGGCCAAGAUGUGCACAGGCCAGUGAGAAGCCCAAGGGAGCCUGUACACACAUGGGAACACAGGCACAACCAGGGAACAUGGAACCAUGGGAACACAGGCACAACCAGGCACAUCUACAGCCAGGGCAAACUGGGACAAAUGGAGCCAAGUCUGGAAAUGGACAAAUGCUCCAGAGUGGCACAAGCAAACACAAGGCCUCUCCAGAAAGGUCCUCUCUUCAGCUCAUCUACAAACAUGCUGAGCUGAAGGGAGGACCUUCCUGGAGAAGCAGGGCCUCUGCUCCUCUAUAGCCCUGUCAGGGAGUUGCAGAGAGUGAUAAAGUCCCCCCUGAGCCUCCUCUUCUCCAGCCUGAACACCUCCAUCUCCUUCAGCUGCUCAUUCUCACACUUGUGCUCCAGACCCUUCACACCUGCUCCACUGCCCUUCUCUGGACACUGCUCACCUCUGCCUCAUUGUCCCCAUAAACAUGAUUUCAGUUUAUUCAGCGACUUCCACUUGCUUGUUUUGAAUCUGGUUCAAGAUUUUUCCCGUCCACUUCCUGCUCCUUGCGAUGUGCCCCGCCUCACUGCGGCACAGUUUGACGUGGGCAGAGCCAUCAGUCCUUCCACGUCACCAGGGUGGUCAUCAAACACGCACUUGGGACUUGGCUGAGCUUUAAUGCCUUGUUCUGGACAAGCCUCACUGGUCUCCCCAGCCCUGCUAUUUGCAGCUUGGACACAGACCCAGUUCUUCAGCACCAUUUGGCCUCAGGCAGGGCAAGGAGCCAGUGUGGUGUGGGGCACAACCAGCAGUGCAGGCACGCUCACCUACAGCACCUGCAAGGCACCAUUUCUCUUCCCUGCCAUUGUGUUUUCACAUCUUCAAGCAAACUUGAGACCAGAGGAAGAGCUGCCCCACCAAGGUGACACCCCAGCACCCAGCAGCAGAUGCAGGGAAACCACAGCCACAGAGGUGCUGAGGCUGCUUCCUCUCCCCACCCUCUCACAAUGUCACUGUUUUCAUUCUCAGAGCUCAAGUUAAACAUUUUUCACAUGAGUGCUCCUCAAGAAAAUGCCACCUUUAAGGGGAAACCUCAUGUUUAGAGCCCCUCCAAGCCAUGUGUCCUUUCACCCCACUGGUAAUAAAGGGACACAGUGCAUAGAAAAGGAUUAGCACAACAUCAGUUGAAGUUUUAGAGGUGCCUUAUACA